rnacentral:rRNA from 2 species
ACGCUGGCGGCGGUGCCUAAUACAUGCAAGUCGAACGAGUUCUGAUUAUUGAAAGGUGCUUGCAUCUUGAAUUUAAUUUUGAACGAGUGGCGGACGGGUGAGUAACACGUGGGUAACCUGCCCUUAAGUGGGGGAUAACAUUUGGAAACAGAUGCUAAUACCGCAUAAAUCCAAGAACCGCAUGGUUCUUGGCUGAAAGAUGGCGUAAGCUAUCGCUUUUGGAUGGACCCGCGGCGUAUUAGCUAGUUGGUGAGGUAACGGCUCACCAAGGCAAUGAUACGUAGCCGAACUGAGAGGUUGAUCGGCCACAUUGGGACUGAGACACGGCCCAAACUCCUACGGGAGGCAGCAGUAGGGAAUCUUCCACAAUGGACGCAAGUCUGAUGGAGCAACGCCGCGUGAGUGAAGAAGGCUUUCGGGUCGUAAAACUCUGUUGUUGGAAAAGAAUGGUCGGCAAAGUAACUGUUGUCGGCGUGACGGUAUCCAACCAGAAAGCCACGGCUAACUACGUGCCAGCAGCCGCGGUAAUACGUAGGUUGGCAAGCGUUAUCCGGAUUUAUUGGGCGUAAAGCGAGCGCAGGCGGUUUUUUAAGUCUGAUGUGAAAGCCCUCGGCUUAACCGAGGAAGUGCAUCGGAAACUGGGAAACUUGAGUGCAGAAGAGGACAGUGGAACUCCAUGUGUAGCGGUGAAAUGCGUAGAUAUAUGGAAGAACACCAGUGGCGAAGGCGGCUGUCUGGUCUGUAACUGACGCUGAGGCUCGAAAGCAUGGGUAGCGAACAGGAUUAGAUACCCUGGUAGUCCAUGCCGUAAACGAUGAAUGCUAGGUGUUGGAGGGUUUCCGCCCUUCAGUGCCGCAGCUAACGCAUUAAGCAUUCCGCCUGGGGAGUACGACCGCAAGGUUGAAACUCAAAGGAAUUGACCGGGGGCCCGCACAAGCGGUGGAGCAUGUGGUUUAAUUCGAAGCAACGCGAAGAACCUUACCAGGUCUUGACAUCUUUUGAUCACCUGAGAGAUUCAGGUUUCCCCUUCGGGGCCAAAAUGACAGGUGGUGCAUGGUUGUCGUCAGCUCGUGUCGUGAGAUGUUGGGUUAAGUCCCGCAACGAGCGCAACCCUUAUGACUAGUUGCCAGCAUUUAGUUGGGCACUCUAGUAAGACUGCCGGUGACAAACCGGAGGAAGGUGGGGAUGACGUCAAAUCAUCAUGCCCCUUAUGACCUGGGCUACACACGUGCUACAAUGGAUGGUACAACGAGUUGCGAGACCGCGAGGUCAAGCUAAUCUCUUAAAGCCAUUCUCAGUUCGGACUGUAGGCUGCAACUCGCCUACACGAAGUCGGAAUCGCUAGUAAUCGCGGAUCAGCACGCCGCGGUGAAUACGUUCCCGGGCCUUGUACACACCGCCCGUCACACCAUGAGAGUUUGUAACACCCGAAGCCGGUGGCGUAACCCUUUUAGGGAGCGAGCCGUCUAGGUUGGAAG